rfam:Aerococcus viridans ATCC 11563 = CCTG 4311 strain ATCC 11563 contig00120, whole genome shotgun sequence.
GGAGUGUCAUGAUGGUGGUUAUAUCUUGUAUAGCCGAGUCUAGCUCUAUCUACUCCUAGCGUGAUGAAGUUCGCUAGGA